UGGUGGUAGCUCAGUGGUUAAGACAUUUGCCUACUGAGCAGGAGGCCAUGAGUUCAAAUCCUGGCAUUGCCAA